rnacentral:rRNA from 1 species
CAAGACUUGCGCUGAUUGAGCGGCCGAUAUCAGAUUAGCUAGUUGGUGAGGUAAAGGCUCACCAAGGCGACGAUCUGUAGCGGGUCUGAGAGGAUGAUCCGCCACACUGGAACUGAGACACGGUCCAGACUCCUACGGGAGGCAGCAGUGGGGAAUUUUGGACAAUGGGCGCAAGCCUGAUCCAGCCAUGCCGCGUGAGUGAAGAAGGCCUUCGGGUUGUAAAGCUCUUUCGGCCGGGAAGAAAUCGUAUGGGUUAAUACCCUGUGCGGAUGACGGUACCGGCAUAAGAAGCACCGGCUAACUACGUGCCAGCAGCCGCGGUAAUACGUAGGGUGCGAGCGUUAAUCGGAAUUACUGGGCGUAAAGCGUGCGCAGGCGGUUUUGUAAGACAGGCGUGAAAUCCCCGGGCUCAACCUGGGAACU